GGACUACCAGGGUAUCUAAUCCUGUUUGCUCCCCACGCUUUCGCGCCUCAGUGUCAGUAGCUGGCCAGGUGGUCGCCUUCGCCACCGGUAUUCCUCCCGAUAUCUACGAAUUUCACUUCUACACCGGGAAUUCCACCACCCCCUCCAGCCCUCAAGCUUUGCAGUUUCAAAUGCACUCCCAAGGUUAAGCCCUGGACUUUCACAUCUGACCCACAAAACCACCUACGCGCCCUUUACGCCCAGUAAUUCCGAACAACGCUCGCACCCUCCGUAUUACCGCGGCUGCUGGCAC
rnacentral:rRNA from 1 species